CCUACGGGUGGCUGCAGUGAGGAAUAUUGGUCAAUGGGCGGAAGCCUGAACCAGCCAAGCAGCGUGCGGGACGAAGGCUCUACGGGUUGUAAACUGCUUUUGUACGGGGAUAAAAUGCCCUACGUGUAGGGUUCUGCAGGUACCGUGCGAAUAAGGGUCGGCUAACUCCGUGCCAGCAGCCGCGGUAAUACGGAGGGUCCGAGCGUUAUCCGGAUUCAUUGGGUUUAAAGGGGGCGUAGGGUGUUCUAUAAGUUAGCGGUGAAAUCCCGCGGCUCAACCCCGGGGCCGCCGUUAAUACUGUAGGACUAGAGUUCGGAUCAAGCAGGCGGAAUGCGUGGUGUAGCGGUGAAAUGCAUAGAUAUCACACAGAACACCGAUUGCGAAGGCAGCCUGCCAGGGCGGAUCUGACACUGAGGCACGAAGGCGUGGGGAUCGAACAGGAUUAGAUACCCUAGUAGUC
rnacentral:rRNA from 1 species